rfam:Zygosaccharomyces rouxii strain CBS732 chromosome A complete sequence.
GCGGAUUUAGCUCAGUUGGGAGAGCGCCAGACUGAAGAAAAACUUCGGUUGAGUUAUCUGGAGGUCCUGUGUUCGAUCCACAGAAUUCGCA